AACGAACGCUGGCGGCAUGCCUAACACAUGCAAGUCGAACGAAGCCUUCGGGCUUAGUGGCGCACGGGUGCGUAACGCGUGGGAAUCUGCCCCUUGCUUCGGAAUAACAGUUAGAAAUGACUGCUAAUACCGGAUGAAGUCUUCGGACCAAAGAUUUAUCGGCAAGGGAUGAGCCCGCGUAGGAUUAGGUAGUUGGUGGGGUAAAGGCCUACCAAGCCGACAAUCCUUAGCUGGUCUGAGAGGAUGAUCAGCCACACUGGGACUGAGACACGGCCCAGACUCCUACGGGAGGCAGCAGUGGGGAAUAUUGGACAAUGGACGCAAGUCUGAUCCAGCAAUGCCGCGUGAGUGAUGAAGGCCUUAGGGUUGUAAAGCUCUUUUACCAGGGAUGAUAAUGACAGUACCUGGAGAAUAAGCGCCGGCUAACUCCGUG
rnacentral:rRNA from 1 species